rnacentral:rRNA from 2 species
AAACUUUCAACAACGGAUCUCUUGGCUCUGGCAUCGAUGAAGAACGCAGCGAAAUGCGAUAAGUAAUGUGAAUUGCAGAAUUUAGUGAAUCAUCGAAUCUUUGAACGCACAUUGCGCCCCUUGGUAUUCCGAGGGGCAUGCCUGUUCGAGCGUCAUA